rnacentral:rRNA from 1 species
CCUACGGGAGGCAGCAGUGAGGAAUAUUGGUCAAUGGACGCAAGUCUGAACCAGCCAUGUCGCGUGCAGGAUGACGGCCCUAUGGGUUGUAAACUGCUUUUUUACAGGAAUAAACUUUGCUACGUGUAGCGAACUGAAGGUACUGUAGGAAUAAGGAUCGGCUAACUCCGUGCCAGCAGCCGCGGUAAUACGGAGGAUUCGAGCGUUAUCCGGAUUUAUUGGGUUUAAAGGGUCCGUAGGCGGGCCAAUAAGUCAGUGGUGAAAUCCCAGAGCUCAACUCUGGAACUGCCAUUGAUACUGUUGGUCUUGAAUUUAGUUGAGGUGGGCGGAAUACGUUAUGUAGCGGUGAAAUGCAUAGAUAUAACGUAGAACACCGAUUGCGAAGGCAGCUCACUAAACUAACAUUGACGCUGAUGGACGAAAGCGUGGGGAGCGAACAGGAUUAGAUACCCUGGUAGUCCACGCCGUAAACGAUGAUUACUCGUUGUGCACAAUACAUCGUGCGUGACUGAGCGAAAGCAUUAAGUAAUCCACCUGGGGAGUACGUUCGCAAGAAUGAAACUCAAAGGAAUUGACGGGGGCUACGGGAGGCGGAAGGAAAAGUGAAGGAAUUCC